rnacentral:rRNA from 1 species
UGGGGAAUAUUGCACAAUGGGCGCAAGCCUGAUGCAGCCAUGCCGCGUGUAUGAAGAAGGCCUUUGGGUUGUAAAGUACUUUCAGCGGGGAGGAAGGUGUUGAGGUUAAUAACCUCAGCAAUUGACGUUACCCGCAGAAGAAGCACCGGCUAACUCCGUGCCAGCAGCCGCGGUAAUACGGAGGGUGCAAGCGUUAAUCGGAAUUACUGGGCGUAAAGCGCACGCAGGCGGUCUGUCAAGUCGGAUGUGAAAUCCCCGGGCUCAACCUGGAAACUGCAUUCGAAACUUGCAGGCUAGAGUCUUGUAGAGGGGGGUAGAAUUCCAGGUGUAGCGGUGAAAUGCGUAGAGAUCUGGCGGAAUACCGGUGGCGAAGGCGGCCCCCUGGACAAAGACUGACGCUCAGGUGCGAAAGCGUGGGGAGCAAACA